GCGACUGUAUAGCAAAUACACAGGGUUUAGUUAAAGAUGUUUAUAUUUUAGAGCUGAUAUGUGACCAGUAUUUAUAGGCUCAUCGAUGCCUCUACAAACGUUGGCCGUAACUAUAACGGUCCCAAGGUAGCAAAUUUCCUUGUCGUUUAAGUAACGACCUGCAUGAAGGAUGGAACGAUUCGAUAGCUGUCUUGCGUACAUGUGCUGGUGAAAUAUUAGGGAGUGUGAAGAUACGGUAACAACGUUAUGGGACAAAAAGACCCUGUGAAGCUUUAUAGGGAUAUAAUUUAGUACAGGUUCUAUAUUGGUAUAUCUUCAUUUCAAGGUAAAACAGUGAGAUACCAUUCAUUGAGAAUACGAUUAGCUAAUAUAACAAGCUGUGGAUCCUUUAGGCCAACCCUUACCACUACUUUUAGGUGUGAUGUGUGUGCCCAUAUAACAUGAGAGUGUGUAAUACGUGUGCUUUCCAUUAGAUCUCUAUUUAACCAUUUUAGAUACCCGUGUGAUAUUUUUUGAAACCACCACCCGUACCCUUUAGUUAAUGUUGUGAAUAAUGUUAGAUGGGCUGUUUCAUUGGGGAGAUGACCUUCUUGAAUCGAACUAAAGGUUCACUAAGCUAUUGAUGUGGGCUUUGAUAAAGGACUAGUAAGUGCAAAGAUAGAUGUGUGGCUUAAUGGUAAAGCGUUUAAUCCAGUAUUUAAAUGGUGUCUUAGUGACCUUCAAAUGAAUUUAUCAGAUAAAAGCUACUCUAAGGAUAACAGGCUUCAUUUAUUGGAUAGCUCACAUUAACAAAAUGGUUUUGCACCUCGAUGUCGGCUUAUCUUUUCCAAAUGGAAAGCAAUCAAUCUGGAGUGGGAGUGCUCAUCCCAUAACAAGGUACGUGAGCUGGGUUCAGAACGAUGUAAAUCAGUUUGGUCUAUAUCUGUAACUUUAUAAAAUGGGAGUGUUGUUUGCUCAGUACGCAAGGACCG
rnacentral:rRNA from 14 species